UGCAAGUCGAACGAGAUCUUCGGGUCUAGUGGCGCACGGGUGCGUAACGCGUGGGAAUCUGCCCUUUGGUUCGGAAUAACAGUUGGAAACGACAGCUAAUACCGGAUGAUGACGAAAGUCCAAAGAUUUAUCGCCAGAGGAUGAGCCCGCGUAGGAUUAGCUAGUUGGUGUGGUAAAGGCGCACCAAGGCGACGAUCCUUAGCUGGUCUGAGAGGAUGAUCAGCCACACUGGGACUGAGACACGGCCCAGACUCCUACGGGAGGCAGCAGUGGGGAAUAUUGGACAAUGGGCGAAAGCCUGAUCCAGCAAUGCCGCGUGAGUGAUGAAGGCCUUAGGGUUGUAAAGCUCUUUUACCCGGGAUGAUAAUGACAGUACCGGGAGAAUAAGCUCCGGCUAACUCCGUGCCAGCAGCCGCGGUAAUACGGAGGGAGCUAGCGUUGUUCGGAAUUACUGGGCGUAAAGCGCACGUAGGCGGCUUUGUAAGUUAGAGGUGAAGGCCUGGAGCUCAACUCCAGAACUGCCUUUAAGACUGCAUCGCUUGAAUCCAGGAGAGGUGAGUGGAAUUCCGAGUGUAGAGGUGAAAUUCGUAGAUAUUCGGAAGAACACCAGUGGCGAAGGCGGCUCACUG
rnacentral:rRNA from 1 species